rnacentral:rRNA from 1 species
CCCGUAAAUAAUGGGAAAAAAUGACGGUACCCAUAAAGGAAGCACCGGCUAACUCCGUGCCAGCAGCCGCGGUAAUACGGGGGGUGCAAGCGUUGUUCGGAAUUAUUGGGCGUAAAGCGCGUGUAGGCGGCUCCUUAAGUCUGAUGUGAAAGCCCCGGGCUAACCCAGGAAGUGCACUGGAAACUGGUAGACUUGAGUGCAAGAGAGGGAAGUGGAAUUCCUAGUGUAGCGGUGAAAUGCGUAGAUAUUAGGAGGAACACCAGUGGCGAAGGCGACUUCCUGGCUUGUAACUGACACUGAGGCGCGAAAGCGUGGGGAUCAAACAGGAUUAGAUACCCUGGUAGUCCACGCCGUAAACGAUGAGUGCUAGGUGUCGGGGGUAUCGACCCCCUCGGUGCCACAGCUAACGCAAUAAGCACUCCGCCUGGGGAGUACGGUCGCAAGACUGAAACUCAAAGGAAUUGACGGGGGCCCGCACAAGCGGUGGAGUAUGUGGUUUAAUUCGACGCAACGCGAAGAACCUUACCUGGGCUUGACAUCCCGAUCGUACCUGCUGGAAACAGUGGGGUCAGUUCGGCUGGAUCGGAGACAGGUGCUGCAUGGCUGUCGUCAGCUCGUGUCGUGAGAUGUUGGGUUAAGUCCCGCAACGAGCGCAACCCUUGUCCUUAGUUGCCAUCAUUUAGUUGGGCACUCUAAGGAGACUGCCGGUGUUAAACCGGAGGAAGGUGGGGAUGACGUCAAGUCCUCAUGGCCCUUAUGUCCAGGGCUACACACGUGCUACAAUGGCCGGUACAAAGGGUUGCGAUACCGCGAGGUGGAGCCAAUCUCAAAAAGCCGGUCUCAGUUCGGAUUGGAGUCUGCAACUCGACUCCAUGAAGUUGGAAUCGCUAGUAAUCGCAGGUCAGCAUACUGCGGUGAAUACGUUCCCGGGCCUUGUACACACCGCCCGUCACACCACGGGAGUCGAUUGUACCUGAAGUCGGUGGGCUAACCCGCAAGGGAAGCAGCCGCCUAUGGUAUGGUCGGUGACUGGGGUGAAGUCGUAACAAGGUAACC